rnacentral:rRNA from 1 species
UUUAAAUUUAGAGUUUGAUCCUGGCUCAGGACGAACGCUGGCGGCGUGCUUAACACAUGCAAGUCGAGCGAUGAAGCUUCCUUCGGGAAGUGGAUUAGCGGCGGACGGGUGAGUAACACGUGGGUAACCUGCCUCAAAGUGGGGGAUAGCCUUCCGAAAGGAAGAUUAAUACCGCAUAAUAUAGGAGAAUCGCAUGAUUUUCUUAUCAAAGAUUUAUUGCUUUGAGAUGGACCCGCGGCGCAUUAGCUAGUUGGUAAGGUAACGGCUUACCAAGGCAACGAUGCGUAGCCGACCUGAGAGGGUGAUCGGCCACAUUGGAACUGAGACAC